rnacentral:rRNA from 1 species
UACGUAGGGUGCAAGCGUUGUCCGGAAUUAUUGGGCGUAAAGAGCUCGUAGGCGGCCUGUCGCGUCGACUGUGAAAACCCGCAGCUCAACUGCGGGACUGCAGUCGAUACGGGCAGGCUAGAGUUCGGUAGGGGAGACUGGAAUUCCUGGUGUAGCGGUGAAAUGCGCAGAUAUCAGGAGGAACACCGGUGGCGAAGGCGGGUCUCUGGGCCGAUACUGACGCUGAGGAGCGAAAGCGUGGGGAGCGAACAGG